GGCAAGGUGGCCGAGUGGUUAAGGCGUCAGCCUCGAAUUGGGUGAGAUUGGGGGAGGAUAUCCGUCCCGGUCUUAUAUAGACUCAAUAGCUGAUUCCCUAGGGAGCGCCGGUUCGAAUCCGGUCCUUGUCG